AUAAGAAGUCGGGCCUGCCCAGUGAUAAGUUUAACGGCCGCGGUAUCUUGACCGUGCAAAGGUAGCAUAAUCAUUUGCUCUAUAAUUGAGGGCUUGUAUGAAUGGUUUGACGGAGUUUAACUGUCUCUAUUUAACUUUAUAAAAUUUAACUUUUAGAUGAAGAGGUCUAUAUAAAAUUAAAAGACGAGAAGACCCUAUCGAGCUUUUGAUAACUUUUAUGAUGUACGAUAAAUUUAGUCUUUAAUUGGGGCAAUUAAGGAACAUAAAAAGCUUCCUUGAGUUUAUAAAGCUGACAAGUUCUGAUCCACAGUAAUAGUGAUUGUAGGGAAAAGUUACCGUAGGGAUAACAGCGUUAUUUCUCUUGAGAGUUCUUAUUGAAAGAGGAGUUUGCGACCUCGAUGUUGGACUAAAGUUUCCUAAAGAUGCAGAAGUCUUUAAGGGUUGGUCUGUUCGACCAUUAAAACUUUA
rnacentral:rRNA from 1 species